GUGCAUUUUCUUCUAUGUGUGACAGAUAAAUCCACCGAUGACUCAGCCUUCAAUUAUUAUUUUGAAAUUACAGUAAAUAAACGGACUCUGUGACUCAUAAUUAAACAAGAUUGUUUUUCUCUUGCUUACAGGAGGCGGUGUGAUGGGAGCAGCGGGGCGCAACGCUGCUUUGGUUGCAGUGCAAAACCUUAAGCGUUCUGUUUUCUAAGCCUGGAUUAGUGUUUCAGCAAGCAGGAUCUGAAAAUUGAUGUUGUGCUUUAGGACUUUUUGAUUUACUUAAUUCAUGUACAUUUUUCGUAACAACAAACAGCUUCAAAU